GGCACAUUUCCCCUUGAAACCCUGCUUCAGAGCAACCUCAACGGUGGCAAGCCAAAGCGAGGUGAUGGGGAGCAGCUGGAAGCCCUGGACCCAGGAAAAAAGGCGGCCAUAAUCGAGGCAACAAUGAAGAAGUGGCCACACACAACGAAGGGCCAGCUGGGUACAGCCAUCAACAACAAGCUGACAGAGCU